rnacentral:rRNA from 1 species
GAUUCUGGCUCAGGACGAACGCUGGCGGCGUGCUUCAUACAUGCAAGUCGAACGAUAAGGCCCCUUCGGGGGGUACAUAAGUGGCGGACGGGUGAGUAAAAUGUAGAGAAUCUGCCCUUAAGCGGGGGACAACAGAGGGAAACUUCUGCUAAUACCCCAUAUGAGCGUAUCUGAAAUGGUAUUCUUGAAAACUCCGGUGCUUAAGGAUGAGUCUGCAUCUGAUUAGCUAGUUGGGGGUGUAAUGGACCACCAAGGCGACGAUCAGUAGCUGGUUUGAGAGGAUGAUCAGCCACAAUGGGACUGAGACACGGCCCAUACUCCUACGGGAGGCAGCAGUAGGGAAUUUUGCGCAAUGGGGAAACCCUGACGCAGCAACGCCGCGUGACCGAUGAAGCCCUUCGGGGUGUAAAGGUCUGUCAGUGGGGACGAAACUUGACGGUACCCACAGAGGAAGCAUCGGCUAACUCCGUGCCAGCCGCGGC